rnacentral:snRNA from 1 species
ACACCUCGGAGACAGAGCUACCAUGACCAUGAGGGUCGCUUGUCCAAGGUGAGAUUCAUUCAGCACACGCUGCCUGCCCUGACUCUGGCAGUCUGCAGAUGUGGGAAACCUCAUUGUAUAAUUUGUGGUAGUGGGGAAUGGUGUUUAUUCAGCCUCCCCU